CCCUUAGAUGUCCUGGGCUGCACGCGCGCUACACUGAUGCAUUCAACGAGUCUAAAACCUGCUCUGAUAGGGGUGGGUAAUCUUUUGAAUGUGCAUCGUGAUUGGGAUAGAUGAUUGAAAUUUUUCAUCUUCAACGAGGAAUGCCUAGUAAACGCAAGUCAUCAGCUUGCAUUGAUUACGUCCCUGCCCUUUGUACACACCGCCCGUCGCUCCUACCGAUUGAAUGAUCCGAUGAAUAUCAUGGAUUGAGGAUGCAAGUAGGUUCACCUAUCUUCAUCUUCGAGAAGUGAAGUAAAUCUUAUCAUUUAGAGGAAGGAGAAGUCGUAACA
rnacentral:rRNA from 1 species